CCUUCCCCUUCCCCUUCCCCUUCCCCGGCUCAGCACCCAGCUGGCGGCACCCAGCAGUGCGCGGAGGAUACGAGCUGUGUGUGUGUUGCCUCAGAUGGGACAGAGAAUCGUGUUUAGUUAGGUUUUCUUUUUUGGGGGGAGGGGGGAUGUCUUGAUGAGGCACCACACCGCUUUUAUUCUGCGGCUGUUCGGGAUCUUGUGUUAUUUGUAAUCUCUAGCUCUUCAGACAAUCAUUAGUGUUCAUUAAAAUGUUUACAAAUGCCGAAUGAUUGUGUGCAGGCUGCAGCGCUGUCACUGGGAGCUGUUUGCCGUUUGUUAGCUGUCAUUCAUUAUUCAGAGUUUUCGCCAUCCGAACAGAAAGCAGAAAUCGUGCUUUGUACCUAAGGUAAUUUACAAAGUGAUUUGUAAAAUGUAAUGUGGACAAUUCUCAGUUAUUGUUUAUCCAGAGUAAUUUGCCUGGCAUGUCAGGUAAAUAAGGGAUGACAGAGCCGAGCAGACUAUAGUUUUCCUGCUCUAGAUAUUUCUCUCUUGCUUCAGCAGAAGGACGACUAUCUGUCUACUACACUUAGGAGACGUGCUGUUUUGGUGAUGAAACAAAGGCGGCAGCCAGCCUAGGAGCGCCAGUUAGAGCAGAUCACGUAAGGCUAUGCAAGCAGACGGUACGAUGGCUAACGUGCAGACCUGGCCUACGCAUUACAUACGUCACAUGGAGAUACCAUAGAUGUUCACAAGUGCUUAUGUAUGUCCACCGGGGUGUAUUGAUCACCCUGUAGUCACCCCUCGGGGUCCUCUUUGGGGCUGGGAGCCUCCUGAGCCUCACAGCUUGUGCACCGCUUAGUCCUCAGGCAGACGCAAGAGCAGGCGGCCGAUGCAGAGCUCCUAGCCCAGAGCUCCCCCCGAACCCAGUUCUUAAAGGCGUCUGUGAAGUCUCAGCCGGGUGUGAUGCGGCAGUUGAGGAGCCACAGUUUGCAGCCAAGGUGCUGAGGUGAUCUGAUGUUUCCCAGACUCAGGCUCCAGCUACACCAGCACACAAGUCCUAGAAGCCCCCAGGAAGGGGGUGAAGAGCUUGGGGGCAGCCCUGCUGCCACUGGUAAGCAGUUCCUGGUGAGCCGCUGCCUGCUAGGCAGCUCCUCCUCUGGGAGACUCCUGAACAAGGGGACUGGGAGCUCUCCUCCCCUCUCUGCUUCCUUCCCUACUUGAUUUUUGAGAAGCAUUUAGCCUGAACGUGAAUUCUGCAGAUGUUCUAUGUCUUUAAAAACAGACAGAGGUAAUACAUGACUUUUUUAAGGCUGCUUUAUACUGAAGGAGAAGUCUGCACUUGAAAGUUCAGAUUCAAGCAGUGUGUGAAGAAGGGGUGAAUAACCCUCUUGUAAAAUGGUUGUUCUAGGGAGCGUCUCUGUGAAGCCUCCAGGCUGAGAGACAAAUAGCUUCUGCAGCCUCCAGAUGUUUAAGGAGCUUUGGAUGUAAUUUUGGAGUUGGCCCUGUCCUGGAUUCUGGGCACUGCAGGAUUUGUGCAUUGCCACAUCACAGCGCAGUGCCGCAGGACCACCGACCACUGCCGCGUUUGCAAAGCGCUGCCGGCGCCCACAGCCUCUGCUGGUGCUGGUCACAGGCGAUCGCUCAGACUCACCGAGUGAAUUGCGCGUAGAUUUACAAGCUGGACAGAGGAGGUAUGGGGAAGUUCUGCCUUCCCAAGAAUUCUUGUACAAAUAAAUGAAGUCUCCAUGUGGGCUGAUUAUUCUGACCACCGAAGACAGUGCUGGGAUUUGCUCAUCUCAGUGGAGCACCUUCUUCUACAGGCCAGGGCACAUGAGACACCGGUGAGCCUGAAAAUUCAUGGCAAACAGACAGAAGACAAUGAUGUGCAAUUUUUCCACGUGGAAGUAGCUAAUGAAGGCUGUAUUGGUGCGAGGUGAGCAAAGGUUUCCUUGAUAAUUCGCUUAGAAAACAGAGGACAACAACAAAGCUUGGAACACGGUGCAGAGCCGCAGCUGGGGUGACGGCGCUGGGCUGGGUGAAGGAGCAUGGUCGAGGCACUGGGAAGGGAGCAGGACCAGGCUGGCACCGGUCACCUUUGGUACUUCCCGUGUGGCUAAAGCUUUGCCAGAAGGUGAGGAGCUGGGGUUUUUAUCUCCCUAGAUGCGACCAUCCACAGCUUUCUGUCCCACCAAGCUGUCCUCGCGCAUUGCUCUUUCUCUUUUAAUUCCCUUUGUCUUGCUCUGAUUUACGCUGUGAGUUUGGUGGUUUGUGGGAAAGGCUUCCCUGUAAUAUCAGAUGCUGUUUUCCCCUUCUCUUUGUUUCGUGCUGUCCUUCUGCAUUGUCUGACAGCACGCCGUAGUGCAAUGGAAAAAGGGAGGGGACGCAGAGCACAGUGCUAAAUUAAUUGCAUUUGUUCAGGUACAAGAUGAAUCGUCCAACUCAAAUCACAGUCUCUAAUUUUGCAAAGAAUUGUGUGUAGUGGCACUGGGGUUGGCUUUGAGAAGUUUUUUGAAGUAGAGUUCAUAAUUCCUCUUGUUAAUAAUGCAUCACACGCAGCCGAUGCUGUUUGCAGCGCCCACAGCCAGGCUUCGUGGGUCCCACUUGUCUGCGAGCAGGCUGGGAACAGGAGGGAGGUGGUUCUGGGUAACGUUUCAUGUGACGCUCGGCAUUGAAGAAUGUUAUGGCAUUGGCUUAAAGCAAUUCUGUCUGAGCCUGCAUGUCUAAAAAUGUGCUCAUUCAUUUACUUCUGUUGAUGUUAAACAUGUGUUUUCCCCAGCCUGCCACAGCCCUUUCUGAGCAUCAGCACACACUGAGGGGGUUUCACAUCCGAAGUAAUUGUGCAAAGUGUGGGUAUUUUGAACAGCAGCUCCUAGAUACUCAGGAUUGAGCAAGAAAUGAAAGUGAUUGGGAAAGCACAUAGGGGGCCAUUUAGGGCAGCUAGACUUCACAAAGUUCUGGUCAGAUACAGGCCCUCAUGAAAGCAAAUGGGAAAUGCUCCCUAGUUUUCCUUUAAUUCAGUUAUGGCGAUUAAGAUAUUUUUUCUCUUAAUGAUCCUAGUUUUAGCAGCUCGGACCAGAUGCAGGCAGCCUGUCCCCUCCUGCACUGGCGAUGCAGCCCUGCCGAGGCUCAGCCAUGGCAGGGGCGUGUGGCCAGGGCUGAUGGGGAUCCAGGGGACAUGCUUCCAGGAGCCUUUCCACCGCUCUGCUCGCCACCUUCGCAGCUCCGGCUGCUGUGGCAGGCUCAUGGCAAGCAUUUAGCAGUGGGAAAAGCAGUGCGAGGCCAAGGAGAUAGGAUUGUGUCAGUAAUUGCUUGGCUGUAAUUAUCUGCCAUUGUGCAUUCUGUUAGCUCUUCCUGCUUCUCAUUAGCAUAGAGUGGAGAAAAUAUUUAAUUGCAACACUAUUCUGUACAUGGCACUAUCCGCAAGCAGAGCAGAUCAAAUCAAACUGCCUUGUGGGGACGAAGCAGAGAUUAGCUUCUCCGGGGCAGCAGGGUACGGCUGACGAAAACGAGCGGCAGAAUACAAAUCGCUGGGUGUUGCCCCCCCCCAGUCUGCAGUUGCAGAAGUGCAACCCCGAGCAGGCUUUUUUCUCUUCUUUCUGCCGAUCACUUGGUGGAGGCAGAGCCUCACCUCCCAGUCACGAUCCCAAAGCACUUUGCAAUGUGAGGCUGAUUUUGCAGACUGCCCGCUUGUAGCUUUACCCUGUCUGCAGGACACGGCUGACGUGGGGACAGACGUGCAGCACAGUGGCUGCUGGAAACCUGUAUUUGAAAUGGGCUUGGACUUUGGUGUGCCUUGUCACCGUGUCCUGUGCGUAAAAAUGCAGCCCUGGGGUUGCACAACCACAGCAGCUCGUGUGUAUGGGAGAGGUGCAGGAACAGGCUGCUCCUCCCAGGAGGCUGCGUGAGGAGAAAUGACGCUGCAGAAAGCACAAAAAGUUGUGUUUUGCAAGGAACAGUCUCUCUAGCAGUGAAAUGCAGUUGGUCACAGACUCUACUUUUAUUGAAGCGCAUAAGAAACAGUGUGAGUCUGAGCUGCUGCACAUUGAGCUACCAGAAGUGAAGCCAAAACCACCCAGACUUGGACCUGAGGUCUGCUUUCCAGCACAGAGAAAAAGAUGCAGAAGCUGCCCCCUUCUCAGUCCUCACUCCUUUCGCCUGUGCUGGGAGCUCAGCUCAUAGCCAGGCACAGAGCAAAGCGUGCAAGGGGCGUAGGUGUCUGGGGCUGAGCUGGCACGUUGGUGCCAGGGGACGUUAGAGAGGCCUCUGGCAGUAGUUUUACCCAUGGCUUGUGCCAUGAAAAGAGGAUUUGGGUUUCAAACCAAUGCUUUCUGCUCCCAGCCAUCCUCUUCCCUGCAGGCAAAGGAGCCGUGCCCUGGCUAGAUCUGUGCUCCCCAUCGAUCUGAUCAGCAAGUGUGGUAAUAUCGACUCCAUUACUCUGGCAUAUUAACUCAAACAUCCAAGUCAUCCCAGAGCUCCACAGCCACCUGAUCUCCUCUGCCGAUUCCCACAGCCUCCGCGCCGCCGACCUGAAAUGCUGCCACCAGCGUUAGACAUAACAGCAGACUUAAUUAAAGGGUGGCAGCGUGCCAGCCUCCAAGAGGCAGAGCUGAGCCGGCUGCGCUGCUUUCAAAGGGGCAUUUUUUAAAAACUCUGGAAAAUAGCAGGGCAAGCCCUGCUGUGCUGAUGCCGGCGUGGGUCAAGCAUCUGUUUUGCCUCGGGUCCUGGCCCCUGGGAAGAAGCGCUGUGCGGUCUCUGUGGCUGACAUCGCUUUGGUCACGCUCGCAGGGCCCUUUCGUGCACGCCACGUCUCUUCUCCAUCCCGUCCUGAUGUGAAAGUGGGGUGCCCCCAUUUCUGCAGGCUGAGGCGGAGGUCACUGGAGCUGCGGGCUCUUUGUCCUGCGUCCCUCUGGGUGUGACACCCCUGUGUGUGCCGGGGGGCUGCAGGGCCACUUUGCUGCGCUCCAGGUGUGCUUUGGUGGGCCCUGCACUGCCCUCCAGACGCGCUGUGGCAGAGGGAUGAAUGCAGACACCAUCUCUGCCCCUCUCGCCUGCAUCAGCCCCAGUGCAGCCUCGCUAAUUCCUCACUGUUUGUAGCCCCAAGCUUAUUCACUUCGACGACAAAACGAGAAGAAGCUUCCUAUUUCCAUAGCUAUCAGGGAUCUAAACAUCUCCUCCCCGGAGACCCCAGCGGGAGCGAUGGAUGGUGACCAUCUGACCCGUUCCCCUGCCUGCGCUCCUUGUCCCAGCCCUGCCGCCAAGUUGUCAUGGCACCUGCCCCCCGGCCCUUCCCGAGGCCACACGCACUCUGACAGCACUCGGCGUUAGCACGAUCUUGAUGCUGAAGGAUCCCCACGGAUGGAAACCCGCUGUCUCUCCUCGGAGCACAAAAGCGUUUUUGCAGCUGUAACCGAUGCGGCACAAAAGCGGGACGGGGACGGACCGACGUCAGGAGGCGGAAGGUAAAAUCCUUGGGCACCACUUUGAGGCAGGCAGAUCCCUGUGGCACAUGUGCGUCGCGGCUCCAGUCAGAUAACAGACAAUGCCCUGAUUAUGGGAAUGAAUUUAGCAUUGUGCACCAAAUUGUGUGAAUGCCUGUUGGAAGAAUAGAUAUUCGAACAAAAAAUGAGGACCGGAGAAAAAGAAAUCAGCCUUUGAGUCAUCGCUUUGCUUCGCACUCAGGAUUUGGUCCACUGUGUGUCCAGAAUAAUUAUUAAGCAAGUUCUGAUGGAAGAAUUUUAUUUACCUAGCCUCAAAAAGGAAGAAAAGAAUCCUUAAUAGUUGAUUAGAUCAAAAAAGCAUCAUUUAUUUUUCAAUAAGUGCUUUAGAUGUAAGAUCAAUGGCUGGAGGUUGAUUGAUAGGAGCUGUUUGCAAAGACCUUAGAUCUAAUUGUGCUCAGGCAAUCACACAGACUUUUCUUUGACUAAUACUAGACACCGUCCCUCUUGUACGGGCGGGGGAGGCACCAGAAAAUAGCAAUACUUUGCAUUGGAGAGUUGCUCAGCAACUGCCCCAUAUUAUUUUUGAGUUGUCUCUGAAUAUAGUCUCCUUUCUCUUUGAUCUUCAUGUAAUUUUUGUUGCUGCUACUUCUCAAAAAAAAGAACAUUUUAAAAGAAUUGCACCUCCAUUUGCCACAAUCUUUUUUUUUUUUCCCCCAAGCACAGCAAAAGCCUGAUGACAUAGGGGAAAGCAGUGCAUUUCACUGCAGAGGGAAGGAAAUUAAGGUCCAUCUACUCUGCUAGAGCCUUUGGGGGUUACUGGGGAGCCUGGGCUCCUGCAGAGCCCUACCCUCUGCUUCUGUAUGUGCCCCACACACAACAUUCAGAUGCUCAACAGCGGUGCUCAGCUUUCGCCACUGAGCUGCCUCACAGCUGGGUUCAGGGCUGGCCAGCACGGCAGCUGAGCCAGUACCAGCAUUCCUGCUUUGGCACUGUUUGAUUAAGAAAUGGUGAUGAGACAAUUUGUCCAGGGAAGAGAGAGUCAGAGCUGGGAUUUCUCGCUUCGCUGUAAUUCCAGACCAAGACUCACGUGGAAGGCUUUGCUUGCCAGUCCUGAUUUGGAAAGAGCAUCACAUCUUGGCAGCCGAUGAUUAUCAGCCCUGCCUCCUGCCUCUUCUGAGAUAAAGGGCUUUACAUGAAGCAAAAGGUGAUUCAUCCUUGAGCUGCUCUUCCCAGACCAGUGUUGUUCCAUGCUCUAGAUGUCACUGACCCCUUGCAGAGACCAGCAGAAAGGGUCUUCCAUUUUUGUAGUGUAUCUGAGCCUUUUCUUGCUUUCAUUUAUUUUCUGGGACUGCUACGCACAAGCGGAUAAUAAGAGAUCUGCAUCGUGUUUGGGUCUCUCUUGGGUAUCGCACACAGAACAAGAGCAACAAGUAAAACACCAAGUCUCCACGAUAGGAAAAAAAGCCCUCCAAAAAAUAGAGAAGAAAAUAACCCAUGAAUUUAAACAGCAUUUGCAAAUGAGAGUCAGGAGCAUCUUCUGUGCAGUCUCUAGACAGCAGAGUUGUACAACUGCUGUCAGUCAUGCAGAUUAAAACUGGAAGCACUCAGCGAGCAUUUGCACAGCCCCUGUUCAAGCUGAACACACAACUCCCGAGCCAGGUCACAUCCCAGCUGGAGGAUGUCAUCAAGGGAAACAAGCAAUUUCUUCAUUUCCCCGUGCUUUCAGAACAACCACAUUAGGCAAUCAUGACCUGGGCACCAGCUACAGACCCGCAAGCUGGGGGUUCCUCCUUGCACGUUUUCCCCAGUGCUUGGUGGCAGAAAGCAGCAGUUUUGUUUUGACCAGGCAGCACCCAAAAGUCAGAAACACGUAUCCGGAAACUUUCAAUGCGAAUUAACUUCCAAAGCAGCAGAAGGAAGCAAAUUUCUGCAGCUAGUGAAAAUUUGAGCUUGAAAGGUCUAAAAAUAGACUUCUUGCCUCGGGAAUUCUAGCCUUGCCUUGUAACUCGUGGUGCUGCAGAUUACUGCAUUCAUAAUUUAAAUGUCGGAUGGGGAUAAAAUUACUCGUGUGGGAGUUAUUCAAUUUCUGGUAAGUACAUUUACAUUAAAUAGCAGCUGCACAUACAAAAGAUAGGAAAAAGCCCUUCUGCUUCUAUUCACCUGAAGCAACAAGAACAUGUGUGGCACUCCAAGGCUGCUGUUGCAAGCAGAUAAUCUGUUUUUCUUACUGAAAACCUGAUGAAGUUCACCAUAGCUGAAAGGGCAGCCGUGUCUCCUCUGCCACUUGGCAGGGAGCUGCUCCGGACUAAUCCCUCUUUGGGCUAGAAGAACAUCCAGCGCCGAUCUGAGUGCUGCCAGGGUUGGCUAUUUGUCUCAUUUCCAGCUAUUGCACUUUGUCACCUCAGUGCCUGCAAAUCUGGAAAACCCAGCAUCACAAUCUCCCGGAGACCGUGUCUGCGCUCUGAUCCUCUGCAGCUGGACAAAGGGCUGAGCAUCAGCAGGUGCCCCGUGUAUGGCACAGCCAAGCGUUUGCUCUUCUUCUUCAGCAGUAUUUUUCACACAUAUCGAGCCAUCCAAGCAAAGUAGCAGAGGUUUCUCCCCCGCGGCUGUUCUUCACUGAAGUCUCUGUGCUGAGCUGAUGGGGGGCACAUGCUGGUGAGGGUCUUGGCUACAGCUCCGGGGGAGUCCCAGACCCAGAGUGAACGUGGGACGAGGCUGGAGCUGAGCGCAGGGCUGGCCAUAGCAGGGUGGGCUGGAUUGCUACUCCUGUGCGGACAUGGUCGGGGCUGACAUCUUUCCUUGGCUGUCGUGGCAAGGAUGGGGCUGACACACAGAGCUGCCCCAGCUCCUUCUACAGGGGAGAUGUAUGCAGGGGAGGACAGGAUAGGGUGGGAGCAAAGAUCUUUGCUCUCCAAUGCUUCUGGUCCUCUAGGUGCUCUAGGUGCUCUGGGAAGGCAUGUCGCAGCUGGUCGUGGGUGAGUGAAGGGUUUGGACGAGGCGGAGAUGAUGGUAGGUGAUGGCAAGCCUCACUCCAGCCUCUAGUUUGGAGGCAGGAGCUUGGGUUUCCUUUGAAGUCCAUCCUUCUGCUGCUGCCUGAAAUCCUCUCAUCUCUGCUCUCUGUCUGGAAUGGAUGGUCUGUGUUCAUGACAACUGAAACACUAAUUUGAGGAAAUGAGAGGCUAAUUGAUCCUUGUUCCUUCCUUCUCCUUCUCCCUCUGGCCUGGCUGCAUUCCCUCCGCUCCCACGCUCCCAGAGCAGAGUUGUUUCUGGUCCGUGCGAAGGCCCUGCCCGAGGCCAUAUGGCUGCACAUGGAGAGGUGGCAGCCGUGGGCAGAGCCCAGCUUUGUGCCCGGGGGCUGCGGCAGCCGCCUGCCAGGAGCCCUCGCCAUCCCCACCAGCACGGCAGGGUUACUGGGGCACUUGCUUGCCAGACAGC